ensembl:lncRNA SOX2-OT SOX2 overlapping transcript
AUUUGAAAACUCCCCUUGCACCAGGGCUGACUGUAGCUGGGGGAAGACAUUUUACUCAUUUGCUCUUUCCUUUCAUACAGUCAGCUGGUCCCUCUUCUCAGGUGUAGAUCACCUAUUAUAAUUUUACCUAAUUUUGAUACUCUGAUAAGGAAAGUCCCAGGACUUAUCAGCUGGGAUAGGCCUCACUUACAAGACAGCUCUGUUCAGUAUUUGGAAGAAAGCCUGACAGGUUUCUUCGGAAAAGUGGCCAUCCAUGGAAUGAAUGAAAUGUUCUCUUUCUAUUCCAUAGAGACAGGAUUUCACCAUCUUGGCCAGGCUGGUCUUGGACUCCUGACCUCGUGACCCACCUACCUCGGCCUCCCAAAAUGCUGGGAUUACAGGUGUGAUUCAUGUUUUUAUCCCAAAUGCUUGGCACAGUGACUUUUCCAGUUGGAACUCAAUAACGAAGGAAGCUCUGGCCUGAGGAAAGCAAGUUGCAAUAAUAAAGAUGUCCUGACACAGAUGAAUGGGAAGAUGUUGGAUUCAUUUUGAGCCAAACUGGUAUGAGGAGGUCAGCUAAAAGCAUGAAGAGGAGAUAACCUAGUCCCAUCAAUUGAAUUCUCCUAGGAGCCAGGGUCAGAUUUGAGAAACUUCUGGAGGAUCCAGUUAGCUUUAGAAGCUGUAGAUCUGGUUUUACUUAGCAGUUCUGGUCCAUUUUAAUUUGUUACAUUUGCGUUUCACUGAAAUUGGUAUAAAAAGUAAAUAAAACGUUCAAAAAAUAUUUAUUGAGUACCUACUAUGUACCAGAAAUGUGGCUAGGCAUUGUGGAUAUUGCUGUAUAAAUCCCAAUUCCUGCCCUCUUGAAGCUAACAUUCUACUUAAAGAAACUGAUAUGAAACCAUUAAUUAUAUAAUUCAGUAUUUAAUUGGAGUCAUAUUAAAUGCUACAAAGGAAAAAUGCAAAGUACUGAAAAAACACACAACAGAAGGAUGUGAUCUAAUAUAGAAUAU